rnacentral:rRNA from 1 species
UACGGGGGGGGCAAGCGUUGUUCGGAAUUACUGGGCGUAAAGGGCUCGUAGGUGGCCAACUAAGUCAGACGUGAAAUCCCUCGGCUUAACCGGGGAACUGCGUCUGAUACUGGAUGGCUUGAGUUUGGGAGAGGGACGCGGAGUUCCAGGUGUAGCGGUGAAAUGCGCAGAUAUCAGGAAGAACACCUAUGGCGAAGGCAGCUCUCUGGGACGGUACUGACGCUGAGACGCGAAAGCGUGGGGAGCGAACAGG